GAUGAACGCUGGCGGCGUGCCUAAUACAUGCAAGUCGAGCCAACAGACGAGGAGCUUGCUCCUCUGACGUUAGCGGCGGACGGGUGAGUAACACGUGGAUAACCUACCUAUAAGACUGGGAUAACUUCGGGAAACCGGAGCUAAUACCGGAUAAUAUAUUGAACCGCAUGGUUCAAUAGUGAAAGACGGUUUUGCUGUCACUUAUAGAUGGAUCCGCGCCGCAUUAGCUAGUUGGUAAGGUAACGGCUUACCAAGGCAACGAUGCGUAGCCGACCUGAGAGGGUGAUCGGCCACACUGGAACUGAGACACGGUCCAGACUCCUACGGGAGGCAGCAGUAGGGAAUCUUCCGCAAAGGGCGAAAGCUUGUCGGAGCAACGCCGCGUGAGUGAUGAAGGUCUUCGGAUCGUAAAACUCUGUUAUUAGGGAAGAACAAAUGUGUAAGUAACUAUGCACGUCUUGACGGUACCUAAUCAGAAAGCCACGGCUAACUACGUG
rnacentral:rRNA from 1 species